ensembl:lncRNA
AAAUAAUCUCCAACUAAUAGGAAGGACCACAAAAUCAUACUUCAAGCAACAGAGGUACCAUGCAGGAUGAAUAAUAGGGGCCAUCCUACAGUGGUGCUCCAAGCAGACAGGAAACAUGGCCCAGAAGCAUGGAGGCGCAUCUGUGUCUUGUUUCAGGAAGAAUCAUGCUGCUUGGUCUCCUCCAGUAGAACACGCACAUUCCAUCUCUGAAGAAAGAAAAUUUCAACAGUCCUGGCUCAUUCUAUCCUUUGUUCUCUUUGUGCCCUACAAGGCACAGUGGUCAUAAAGGCUCAGAGGUGCAUCCUGUGCUCUCCGUACAUCCGUUCCAGGUGGGCACAUGCUGUGGAUAUUUUCUUCUUAUGGCUCUAGGGGCAGGAUGCUUUGUUGCCGGAUAGUGAUAUCAACCCUGAUCUAGACUGCACUUCAGGUCAUAUCCUGGCCAACAGAGUGAACAUAAUAUAAUCACCUGAACUUCAAGUGAGUUCUAAUUUUUCCCUUCAAAUAUAAAAUACCAUUAUAAAUACUCUUAAAGAAAUAAAUAGAAUAUAUGUGGAUAUUCCAAACAAAUAUCUCUAGUUAGGUGGUCUUUACCUAAAUAAACUCAGAAAAUGUAUGUAUGUUAAGUAGCACUCAAUUGCUUUGAGCUAUCAAUAUCUCAUUUCACCUCUUGUUAAAAUGUGACUUACAGGUAAGGAAAUCAGAUAUGAGUUAGGUCAAAGGUCUUAGGUUCAAACUCACAUUAAGAAGCCAUAACAUUCUCAGAGCUGCCUCUGGCCAAUAUGGAAAAUAGGGAUGACUUAGGAAGAGACAGCCACCUUCCCAACACAACCUGAACAGCCCCUGCGGCCCAGAGUUUGUUGAGCUGACAGGAGUCUGAAUUUCAGAUCUCAUUUGUGACCUCACCCAGGUAUGUCUCUACACUUCACAAACAGCACAAGUCAUAGAAAGCAGCGCCCAUCUUGUGCCCAGGGCACGUCUAGAGCCAAGUGAGAACAGGAGAGGAGGGGAGAGAUGCUGCUUCAUAAUACAGACUGUCCCACAGGUAAAUCUUUAAAAAUAUGGCCUCUUCUUCAUCUUUGUGGUUAUUCAAGUACAAGUAAAAGUUCUUCCUAUAUUCCUGCCAUGCAAAAAAUAAUCACACUGUCUAUUACCAGCCUUGUCCCCUUGACUGGGGCAGAUUUGAAAUGGGGUGAAUGCUGUCUUAGUUCCUUGUAUCAGUAACAAGUCAGCCUUUACCUUACUGUUGAAUAAUGUUUUAGGAAACAUGUCUCUGAUACAAAAAUCUUGAGCACAUCACACACCCUGAUGCAGUUUGCUCUGCAAGAAUGGCUACAGUUUAUAAUCAAUGUAAGAGAUGAAUGGUUAUAUGCUUUAGAUGCAUAGGAUAAAUUUUAUCUUUUCAAAAGAAAAUUCCAACAUGUUAACCUUUAUAAGCAAAACAAACAAGCUAACUAAAAAGUCAUAAUCAGGAAAGAAAUUAGAACCCACUCAAAUAAUUUCUUCUGACUCAUCUAUCUGCUCCAUUUCUCUUUCCCCCUCACCCUCUCAUUGUCUGUAGUUGCCAGCAAGUAAACAUGAAUGCUGAAGCAAGAACAAAAGGAAAACAGAAACAUAUAUUUAUGUAAACUUGUAUUGAUUCAACUAGGAAGAAACCCCACAGCUUUCAAGGUCUGAGUCACAAAUCAUUAUGAUCAGAAAUGCUGAUGUGCUAGGAAUACACGAGUACUCUCACUUGUUAUCGAGGAUCAGGCCCAUUGUACAGCAUAGUGAAGCUAAAAAACAUUAAACAUAGUUUUCAGCCUCCAUUUAUCAAGUGCUAUUUUGGGAAAGGGAGGACACAAUGGCGAUGAGUCCAGGCUUGUAUAUUCAGCUUCACAUUCAGUCACUGACAGAUCCACAUUUGGGAAAAUCAGAGGGAGGUCACAUCACCUUUCCAAACAUGAGAAAACUCUGUUCUUCCCAAGAUGACCCGAAAUGUUCUAAUUAUUGGUUAUUCCCUCUGGCUGGCCAUGCAGCCAACAAGCACGUAGAGUUCAGUGAACCCACAAGCACACAGCUGUUAUCUUUGACUUGUGGCCAAAACAAAAAUUGGAACAGAAUUUACCCAGACAAGUGUAAAGGCUUCUGUUUAAAGCAGCUAUUUUCUAAGCCAGAUAAACAGCUUUGAAAUGGAGAAGAAAUGAAUCCUUUUCUAGAAUGUCUGAAUCAAAGUGAGGUCAACGUGUGGAAGACAAGAUGUUAACAUAGAUUACCCACACAGCUGCACAAGUCUCCCGUAGAAUGAGGCAGGCUCCAUGCCUCCAUUUGCCUGUAUUUCUUUUGUCAACUUGCUUUUGUGCUUUGGAAGCAACUUUCUGUAUUUGGGGAAGGUAACUAUGCUAAUUCAGUUGGUUCAGGAUAGAAAGCAUUAAGGGUCAGCAAACUUCUAUGCUGGAAGCUUCCAUGAGCCAGCAACUUCAUGGGCCAGGGGUCAUUUUGGACAGAAGCAUGAAGGGCUCUUAUCUGGGAGUUUGAAGGAAGAAAGAAACAAAGUAGUUUUACUUUGGGCUUAAGUCAGUGAUUCUGGCCUUUGAAUUUCCACUACAAAACAUUAACAAAUAUCUCAUUUUUUAUAGGUGCCAAAGGGACUGGUAAGGAAUAGUUGAUAGACGAAGCAGGGAAAAAUCACCCUCCCUGUUCCUUACACAAACACUGUGUGCUUGUGCUAAUCUGGCAAUCCAUCUUACAAUCACCAAACAGUACAGAGCAAGGAAGCAAUUCACACCGAAAUAGUGCUCCUCAGAGCUUUUCAUAGCUUGAUGCCUAUUGCAGCUGCUUAUAUUGUACCAGCAGGUGGGUAUAAAAUAGCAUAUUCCAGAGUCUACAGAAGCUGUGUCCCAGGGUAGAAGAGGAGAUGAUUUUUUUUCCAGUAGAGUGAAUAUGCAUAUCAAUGUACCUGAAUGGAGAGCUGGGUCCUGGUGAGCUGUCAUCAGCAGCAAAUCUAUCUGUACUUCCAUUUCAAGUGGUCUAUUUCGGCAAUAACAAGGCUUAUGCAGCAAGGGUUUGAAAAGCCUGCUUCUCUUGAUUCCAGUGGGCUUACAGACCACAUCAGCAGUGCAAACAGCCCUGGGCCUACUAUCUACUGUCAUUCACUCCCAAAUUCUCCCUGUACACAACAUUUGCAGCAACAUUAAAAAUCUCACCAGCUCUGAAGUCCCAGUUUUCUAGAAUAGUAAGCGCCAGUAUCUAGAUAUGGUAAGAACAAGAACAAUUGUAACUAGAUGGCUUUGUAGCCCAUUCUAAAAUAUUCUAUCAUUAAGGCAGCCAGCUGCAUAAUUGGGGUCAACUUCACACCUAUUGGGCAGGGGCAGUUAUCAGAAACCCAUUGAGCAAAUGGAUGGGAUAUUUCAAACCUAUGAGCAUCAAACAUCUCCAAAAGUAACAAGAAGUGACAGCUGAAGUCAUGCUUAACAGAAUUGGUUUAAAAUGUGAAAUGGGUUUUAAAAGCGGCACUGCCCUCCUAUUGGGUGUGAAUGAGACGUAGUACACAGGAGGGGAAAUCCCUAUUAAAGCUGGAACUCCUGCUUUGUUCUCUUGUGUAUGACAAGCAGCAGCUGCCUCUAGAUAAUUCUUGAAAGAACUAAGACAUGUAGGGAGCCACUGGGUAGGUGGUCAAAGCUGGGUAAAACAACCCUCUCAGAGUUUCAGUAAACUUUAUAAGAAGCAUCAUUAGGAAUAUCUGGCAAUUUGUUUAAAUGAACCAAGCAAGAAAAAUUGUGCCUACCACCUUCCGUCCCUCCCUAGACCAUAUGUUUCCUGGUAGUAGUUGCCUGAUUAUUUUACCCUUCCUCCACCCAAAUCAUUUGGCUUUCUUCAACUCUCUGACACUGGGAUCCACAAACUUAUUCUGUAAAAGAUCAGAUAGUAAAUAGGUCAAAAGUUUGCAGAGCAUACAAUCUAUAUCACAACUACUUAACCCUACCAUUUUAGCAUGAAGGCAGCCACAGUCUAUAUACAAGUAAAUGAAUAUGGAUGGAUUUUGAUAAAUUUUAUUUACGGAAUUAGACUAGAGGUCAGAUUUAACCCACAACCAUCAUUGGUGGAUCCCUUCUCUAAAACACUGCAUCUUGAGCAAAGGCAGUUCUAGGAGAUUCUGUGAAUCUUUAUUUUCUUUCCCCACUUGCUCACCUAUGGUAGAUUGUUAGAAUAAUGACACCCUCAUUUGUUUUUACUUCCCAUCUCUGCACCCUUGGGUAAUCCCCUCCCACACUGAAUAUUUUGGGCUUAAUUGGAUCCUCUUUAAAUUUGUAUGUUGAAACUCUGACCCCUAAUACUUGAGAAUACUUGAGAAUGUUUGGAGAUGAGAUCUUUUAAAUGGUGGUUAAGUUAAAAUGAAGCUCUUAGGAUGGACCCUAAACCAAUAUGACCAUGUCCUUAUAAGAAGAGCAAAAGACACCAGAGAUAUGCACACAGACAAAAGACCAUGUGAAGAGGUAACAAGAAAGCAGCCAUCCAAAAGCCAAGAAGAGAGCCCUCAGAAGAAACCAGAUCUGCCAACACCUUGAUCAUAGACUCUCAGGCUCCAGAACUGUGAGAAAACAAAUUUCUGUUGCUUAAGCCACUUAGUCUGUGGUAUUUUGCUAUAAUAACCCUAGCAAACUAAUGUAUUGACUCUGGGACAAACACGUGACUUUCUUUGGCCGAUGGGUAUUGGGAAUCAUGACCUACGCAAAGACUUGAAAAAUGUCUCUUGCUGCUCUUGAGACCCCUGUCAGCAACCUUGUGAACAAGUCUGCACUAAUAUGCUGGAAGAUAAGAAAUUCAUGGCCAGUCAUUCACCACCCCAGCUGACAAGUCAAACCCCAGAAGCAGUUGCCCAGCUGACUGGCAGCUGUCCAGAGAAGCAUGAGCGAAUCCAACUGAGAUUAACAGAAGAACUAUACGGCUGAGACCAGUCCAAACUGCUGACCCAGGCAGAAUAUGGUUAUCUUUGUAAACAUACUAGUUAGGAGAAGUUUGUUACAUGCAAUAGAUAAUUACUGUACUACCCAACUAAUUUCCAUGUCUUCUCCACUCAACACUCAGAUCACGUUAUUUAUCUGCUACUUGGGACACUUCAAAGCUGAACUCCAUUUUUCAACUUUUCCUGCUGCCUCUAACCAUCCAGUAGUUCAGUCUACUACAUUAUCCACUCCCGACACCAUUCUGUGCUAGGUGGGGGUAUUUAUUUUCUAUUGCUGUGGUAACAAACUACUGCAAACUUAGCAACUUAAAACAGCACACAUUUAUUAUCUCACUGUUCUAUAGGUAAGACGCUUGGUAUAUGUCUCACUGAAUUAAAAUUUAUAUGUCAGGAAGGCUAUGCUUAUUCCCAGAGGCUCUAGGGGAGAAUCUGUUUCAGAUUUCUGGAAGAAUUCAGUUCCUUGCUCCUGUGGGACUGAGAUCUGCGUGCCAUUGCUGGCUGUCAGCUAAGGGUUGCUCACAGCAUCCAGAGGCCCCCCCUACAUCUUUCCUCAUGGUUCAUUUCCUCCAUCUUCAAAGCCAGCCAAAGUAUAUCAAGUCCCUCUCAUGCUUCAAAUUUCUUCGGAAGUUUUAUGCAUCACAUUCUCUGACUCUAAUCAGGAAACAAUACUCUGCUUUUAAGCGUUUAUGUGAAGAUGAGCCCACCUUGAUAACCCAGGCUUAUCUCCCUAUCUCAAGAUCCAUAACUUUUAUCAUAUCUGCCAAGUCCCUUUUCCCACAGAAUGUAGCAUGGGAUCCAGGGAUUAGGAUGUGGAUAACUUGGGAAGGGAAGGAGUUCAUUAUUCUGCCUUUCACAGUAGCCAGCUAUGGUAGUGAAAUCAAAGACCAUAACUUCUCACUGGUUCUGUUACAAUGGGAAUUUCUUAGAGACUAACGGCAAGCUCAAUGGGGCCUGUUCCCAUCCACAGUCAGCCACACAGCAGCCCACCAGUAUAGAACUGCUCCUCUUGUUUAUUUGAAGAGUAGCCUUUAUUUACAUCCCUGGACUGCUCCAUCCCCUUGGCACUUCUCUAUACAUUCUUACAAAUUAGGACAUGAUUCUCUAAAUACAAAAGUGCCACUAUUAUGAGAAAAUGUCAUGAGUUCCUAUCCCUAUGUGUUUAGAAUUCUGCAAAGUGGUUUAUUGCAGUCCAUUAAAGCUACCAGGACAUAUUCUCUAUCAGUUAGAAUGCCUUCAGCUACAAGUAAAUGAAACCUUGAUUUAAACUGGCGUAUAUGAUAUGAAAAAUUAUUAUUUCACAUUACAAGAGGUACAGAUGCAGAUCAGACUUCAGGGUCAGUUAAUUUUGUGGCAUAGGAACGUAAUCAAGGUCCCAGUUUCAUUCUCUCUCUCUACUCUGACACUCUUAGUGUCACCAAGCUGGUCAUAAGGUGUCUGAAGCUCUUUCCAGCUUCCCAUCCAAUUAUAAACACAUCAGAGGAAAAAGAACAAUUGUUUCUUCCUGCACCCCUAUCUUUGCUGUGAGACACUGCUUUCCUACAAGUUCCACAGUAGACUUUCCCUCUGCUUUCAUUGGGAGAAUUGACCUAAUUUCAAAGCAAGGGAAGGGAAUGAGAAUAUGACACUUCAUCAAGGCCUUCCUUGAUCACCUUUUAAAACAACAGGUAUGUGCCAGAGUUGUCUCUUGGCAUUUCCUCCACCCCCACCAAACCUGUGUUUUUCUCUGAAGCUUUUAUCACUAUAUGGUUUGCUUUGUUAUUUGUACCUCUUCUCACAUGUACACUAGCAUGUUAAUUCCACUGCUAGCGAUUUGAGGCUCUUCUAUUCUUUAAGUAUUUAUUAAAUAAAGGAACAAAUCACAGUUCUAGAACUAAUCAGGCCCUUGAAGCUGGAGGUAUGAUCCACUUUUCCUAAGCCAUAUGCUGUGAUAGGUGACUUAGUAAGCAAUACUGAGUUUAGGAAGAGAUAGAGAAGUAAAUGCCAGGUAAAUGAUCUGUAUUCUCACUUGUAAACAUAUUUGCCCACCAUUACUAUCACUAAUACUGACCUGACUUAACUUCAGAGAGACAUUUGGUUUUGUUGAAUCUUAAAGCAAUUCACUGGUAAUCUUUCAUACCAAAGAAUCCUGGUCUAAGCUAAACUUGGAGAAACUUUUCUUCACAGAUCCAUUCAUCCUAUUCUCAUUUAGGGUAGAAGGAAUGAUUAUUGCUGCUUCCAAAUCCAAAAGAAUUAUGUAAACCUUAUGUGUUAGUUUUUUGUUUCUGAGACAAAAUAUCUAAGAAUAACAACUCAAAGUAAGAAAGAUUUGUCUUGGUUCAUCAGUUAGAGGUUUUAAUUCAUGGUUGGGUUUUGCCAUUGCUUUGGGCCCGUGGUAAGGCAGACCAUCACAGCAGAAAGGCAUGGCAAAAGAAAACUACUCAACUUGUGGCAUUACAGAGGGGCAUGGAAGAGGAGAAAAGAUUCAUGGCACAGAAAGCAGGAAGCAGUGAGCCAUUCUUUCUGUUUUUAUUCCAUCCUGGCUACAAGUCUAUUGCUUGGUGCCACCCACACCCAGAGUUUGUCUUCCCUCUUCAGUAAGUCCAUCAUCCACAACCAGAACUAUACUAAACCAAUCAGUGCUGGUAUCACACACGCAUGAUUCAGAAUCACACACCCAUGAUCCAGUCACUUCCAAAAGCCUCACCUAUGAGUGCAUGAGGCUUUAAGGGGACAUGUAGAUAUAAACCAUAACCGCCAGGGACAAAAUACAGUUUCUGAGGUCACAUCCUCAUAGUCCAUCCCUUCAACUACACCCAACUUCCUAAAUUUCUAUUACCUUCCAAUAAGCCCAUCCAAUUAUGAUUUAACCAAUAAAUUUGUCAACUGAUGAAGUUAGAACCCUCAUGAACCAAUUACUUCAAAAGCCCAGCAAUUGGCAACAAAUGCUUCAAUACAAUAAGCCUUUGGAGAGCAUUUUAGGUAAUAACCAUAAUACUUUCUAGUCUAAUAAUUUCUAUUCUAUUCUAAUAAUUCUAACUAUAUAUAAUUUACCCUUAUAAUUACUAAAAAAACAAUUUUCCUAAAAUUUACAUAUUAAUAAGAAGUGGGUUUAUACUAGAAGUAAUCAGGAUAACCUAAAGCAAUUAAUUGAUGCAAUAAAAGAGGUAAGCAAAGCCAUUAUAUUGGUGUCUGGCUAUUCAAAUGUCCCCAGCUGGAAGAACCUGAGCAGAAUUUGGAGAAAGGCCACAGGUGACCACCUCCUGUAUAAUUAGUGUCAGGCUUCUGCAGCAUAAUUCGUAACAUUCCUCAUCAUGUUCUACUCUUGGAGUUCUUGAGCUAUCCAAGGAGAGGGACCAUCAGGUCUCUCAAGACCUCUUUCCAAAAGUUUCUCCCUGAGACAGGAGCCAAAAUAUUCAUUACGUGUUAUUUAACUUGUUUAUGUCAGGCCUGGAAAUCCUUUGCCAUUCUCUUUACUAACACCUGUUUUUAUCUUUGGGAAAAAAACAAGGGGAACAUUUGGUCUGUUCACCCCAAAUAGUUACAGUGAGAUGUCUUGCUACCACAACUACAACCCAACACAGCCUGAGCUACAGAGUGCUAUCCCCAUGGCAGCCUGUCCUGCCUCAAGCUCUCUCUCUUUAGACAUUGCCAUCACUGACCUUUACAGAUUUUGCUCUUCAGGGAGCUACUCUACUCGAUCCAGGGAACUGAAGACAACAGACUGCAUAACUUCUGCCCAGGUUCCUCCCUUGGAUCCUCCAGCUCCUUCUUGGAAUUCCUUAUGAUCUCUAGGGCCAACUCCUCUCACAAAAGCCUGACCACCUUUUGGAUCUCUGAGAAAACCCUUGGACAAUCUCUAAUUUUCAUUAUUUAUUUUAUUGCUCAAAAUGUCCCAGCUUGGCCAUCAAGACUACAUUCAGGCUGACUCCUGGAUCUUCAUCACAUGUUCCCUACACUUUGGCACACUUCUGUGCAAUACACCACGAUCCAGAUUAAUCUCAUAAUUGUCCAGCUUCAGUCCAGGAAUCAGUCGCUUCUUUAUGAAGCCUGGGUUUUUGUUGUUGUUGCUUAUUUAUUUGUUUGUUUAUUAUUGAAGAAUAGUGUUUAGAAAACAAGAUCUAAACAUCAGGUAUACUUAUUGUUUUUGUAGUGUUACAGCUUUUAGGCCCUUUUAGCAGGCAGCUAGAAAACACAUGUAUGUUUGCUAACCCAUGCAUACAUACUAAAGUUUUUUUAUUUAUACAAAUAGAUAGAUAGAUACACACGAAUCUAUUAAUUGAGUUAUAGAUAACAAUUUCGUGAGUUUAUGCUGAUACUUCUGUUUGUAGUCCAGCUUCACAGGUUUCAUUCUAGCCUCUCUCCUCCCCUUUUCAAUAUCUGUAAUGUCUUUCUGAAAUAGGCAGAAACUGGUCUUAUUUCCUACCUUAUUAUUUACUAUAUGUAUAUGUAAGUAAAUACUGUAUAUUUACUUAUUUAUUUAACUCUGGUACACACACAAAGUCUUCCAGAAUUUCUAACCCAUGACACCAUGAGAAACACAUUUACAAACAAAAUUACACUAUUUAUAUAGAGUUAUUUUUAUCUUUAUAGUAUUCAGUCAAAAACUGUUUACUCAAGUUACUUACAUGGGUGCAUGUAAACACGCUUUUAGGAUCCGACUUUUAAGUCUUUCAGAGUCUUAGGCUAAGUGUCAAAUAUAUAUUGUGGCCAAUCUUUAAAUGUCUUCUUUAUAAGAUUAAAGAUCUUCAUUAAAUGAGAAUGGGCUUGACUCUUGAGUAUAUUGUAUUUAUAGUUUAUUGUUUUUCUAUACAAUACUUGAGUUGCCUGAGAUGAUUAUUAUAAAUUUCUUUUUAUUAUUCUAAAUUUGUAUUAUCCUCUUAAGUGGUAUAUUGGAUUGCUAUAGUUCACAACCUCCAGGCAUAAAAUAUAAAGCAAUAAAAUCUUCCAAUUAAUCUACACAUAUGCAAAGUUUGUAAUUAAAUGCAAAGCUAUAAUUGGACCCAAUGCCCCAUCUAACACAAAAUAGCAAUAGGAAUGAACUCAGGGAGAAAAGAAUAGUCAAAAUAUUCAGUCAAUGAACUUGAGUGGUUAUUUACUUAAAGUAAUUUAAAGAAAAAACAUUAUACCACAGUGUAGGGAAAAAGACAUAUUCAUGUGACCAAUAAGGAAAAAAAUCUGUCUCGACUCAUCAUUACAUGGGAGGAUAAGGUCUAAUAUACUAACACCACGCUAAGGUGGGGGAAGAUGACAGAAAAUUUAUGGAUGUGGUAGCUAAGGAAAUAAGCUCAUCUGUUGACUAUAAUCUGCCCACAUACCCCCCUACACAGUAAAACAUGCACGCACACACACACACACACACACACAUAGACACACACAUAAACACACACACCUCCAUUAUCAGGGGCCUUAAAUUUCCACUUCCACUUGAUAUUUUUUGUUCUACAAAUUUCUAUAUAAAUAGUAUGACUCUUGGGCUGGAAUUUAGCUCAGUGGUACCACGUCUGCCUUACAAGCACAAGGUCUUGAGUUUGAUCCCUGGUAUCAAAAAAAAAAAAAAAUACAAUGACUCUUGUUGCAAUUGGGUUGUCCUAUCUUUGAUUCCAAUAUUUUUAAUGAUAGGGUCAACUGAUCACCAAUACAUUCUUCAUGAAUAAUUUAUUUCCAAAUUUAAAAAUAAUAAUAAUUUAGGAGUUCUGAAUGUUAUAUGGAUGAGAAAAAUCCAAGUUAUUAUGCUAUGUUAAUUUUAGCACCUAAUUAACCAAACUUGCUUUUACCCUAGACUUCUGAUUGAACACUAAAAGUAACCAGCAUCCACACAGUUCUACAGGCCAGAGCCUAGAAAUUAUACAUCAUUCUUCUAUUUCUCUCUAUCCUGGGCACCUUCAAUCAAUCCAUCAAUAGUCUUAUUAUUUGUAUCUUCAAAAUGCAGCAUAAAUUCAUUUGUACCUUUCAGUCUCUACAGCCAUGGUGUUGAUCCAGCCACUAUCAUCUGUUAGUAGCCUACUGUGAUUAUUCCUAACUUCUCACAAUAUCUACUCUUCCCACCUUAAAUGCCUCCUCUAUCCUCUGCCCAUGUCAGUAAUUUUUUGUAAAUAUAAAUCUGAUCACAUGAAUUGUUUGUUUAAAAAAUGUUAAAGAUGUCCUAGAUCCUUGUGGAUGAAGGAUCACCCUUGGUCUGGUCCCCGUGGGGAGCCCAUCUUGCUCCUCACGUCAACUCACUCUCUGAACUCAAGGUGGAAUUCUUCAGUUUCUGGAACUUUUUUCUCCUCGGGGGCUUGGCCCACCCCUCCCUCUCUGCUGCCCCUAGUUAACUCCUACCAGUCAUUCAUGUCUCAACUCAAAUGUCACCUCCUCUAAGAAAUCCUCCCUACUUCCCAUAUAAUAAAGCAAAGUACCUAAUAUAUUCUCCAAACACACUGGAUGUUUUCUUCAUUGUAUUGGUUAAAAUUGAAAUUCUACAUUUAUCUGGAAAUGUAUUUAAUUACUGUUUUCUAGCCCCCAAAGGGUUCUAUAGUAUCCUUAUCCCCUAGGUGACUCAGUACGUGGCACUUAUUAGGUAACCAAUGAGUGUUUACUGAAUGAAUACUGGGUAGAAAGGAAAUAGCCUGAAUAUAUGGAAUUUUCAUUUAUGCCUUCUUUGUCAACCAUCAACAGCAGGUGGAAUAAAAAUCCUGUCAGUGGAUGUGAAUCUCCUAUUGUGAUCCCUGAAGUUCCGCUGAGCUCAAGACAGAUGGACACCCUGCAGCAGCUGCACAAAAUGGCUCUCAGAUCUGACCCGCAUACAAAGCAGAGAGCAUGAGAGUGCUCCAAAGAGAGCUGGCAGCCUCUUGACGUCCGUAAAAUACAAGGCUGGCUCUGGCUUUGACCCUCGCACAUCCCCUAAAACAUGGUAAAGGAAUAGAGAAGUGCUGCACUGCAUUCUUGGAAUUAUUCCAGUCAAUUUGAAUAUAUGACCAAUAUUUGAAUGUAAGACCAUUUAUCAGCUAUUCUGUGUUAUCUGAUAAUACGCUAUCAUCCUUCCAACCUCAAAGACCAGGAGACUAAAUGGUUCAAUAGUGUUUUUUCUUUUCUGUGGCAUUUCCAGGUGACAUAUCUUAUAGUGAGAUAAAAAUAAGGGUAAUACUGUUAGACUGUCUCUUUUCUAGCUGCACAAAAAUAUCCCAUCCUGCCCAUGUGGGACGUGGAUGGCAGGAAACUGACCCGCCUGGCGAGGAGAGAUGGUUGCCUCCAGGAAGGAGUCAAGAGGCCAAACACUGGACACAGGGUGAGGAGUGAGUGCUUGCCAACUCUGGAAAGGAGUCCUAUGCCUGGAUCUUGUCCCAUUGUGCUGGCUGAGCACCACAGGGGACUUUCAAGUGGCACAAAUUCUCGGCUGCACACGGUACCUAAGCCACAGACUGAAAAAUUAUGCAAGCAGGGUCCAGUGCUAAGAAACAGACUAGUGGGACCAAAGGAAGUAGAAUCAAGGUCCUUGCACAAGUAAACUUGGUUUGUGAAUGGGAGAUACAGGAAAAUGUGAAACAGAGAAGACAGAAAACUGACCAGGCAAACUCUCCUGCUCCCUUUUCUGUACUCACUUAUCUUUGAUUCUUAUUGAGAUUCCAUAAGACUACAGAGUCUUAAUUAAGUUCAUUUUCUGACUUUUGUCCCCCUGAUGAAUCUGCCAGGUAAACCUCCAACCUGGAUCAGUUCGAACCCCUGUAUUUCCAUUCCUAUUACUGGUCUGCAGUUGCAUACCUCAGGAGAAAAUAUCCUAACUGUGUAGAAUGGCAUAAUUAAUUAAUGACACCCCCACUGAGUUCUCAGGGAGCUCAGUCAUCUUUCUCAAGAACCCAUUCAAAAAUGUUAACAUCUCAGUGACUGUUUAAAUCUUCUCCAGUCCAUCAAGCCCCAUUCUACCAUGCUCUCUGCCAAUUGUGCCUUCUAUUUUAUGAAGAAGAUAAAAGUCAUAAGGCAAGAAAUACACCAAUUUCCUCCCCCCACCCUUUGACUUAAAAAGAUAUCUAGGGGGUUGCUUUCUUCCCUUCUACCUCAGAAGAAGAGGUCAUUCUUGCACUGUGUGUUAUAUCCUGUCCAAGUCCUCAGAGGACUUGCCUUCACCAAUUAC